GAUGAACGCUGGCGGCGUGCCUAAUACAUGCAAGUCGAGCGAACAGACGAGAGUGCUUGCACUCUCUGACGUUAGCGGCGGACGGGUGAGUAACACGUGGGUAACCUACCUAUAAGACUGGGAUAACUUCGGGAAACCGGAGCUAAUACCGGAUAAUAUUUAGCUUCGCAUGAAGCAAUAGUGAAAGACGGUUCUGCUGUCACUUAUAGAUGGACCCGCGGUGUAUUAGCUAGUUGGUGAGGUAACGGCUCACCAAGGCAACGAUACAUAGCCGACCUGAGAGGGUGAUCGGCCACACUGGGACUGAGACACGGACCAGACUCCUACGGGAGGCAGCAGUAGGGAAUCUUCCGCAAUGGACGAAAGUCUGACGGGGCAAUGCCGCGUGAGUGAAGAAGGUUUUCGGAUCGUAAAACUCUGUUGUAAGGGAAGAACAAGUACGUUAGUAACUGAACGUACCUUGACGGUACCUUACCAGAAAGCCACGGCUAACUACGUG
rnacentral:rRNA from 1 species